CCUACGGGUGGCUGCAGUGGGGAAUAUUGGACAAUGGGCGAAAGCCUGAUCCAGCCAUGCCGCGUGUGUGAAGAAGGCCUUCGGGUUGUAAAGCACUUUCAGUGGGGAAGAAAGCCUUGGGGCUAAUACCCUCGAGGAAGGACAUCACCCACAGAAGAAGCACCGGCUAACUCCGUGCCAGCAGCCGCGGUAAUACGGAGGGUGCGAGCGUUAAUCGGAAUUACUGGGCGUAAAGCGCGCGUAGGCGGUCUGAUAAGCCGGUUGUGAAAGCCCCGGGCUCAACCUGGGAACGGCAUCCGGAACUGUCAGGCUAGAGUGCAGGAGAGGAAGGUAGAAUUACCGGUGUAGCGGUGAAAUGCGUAGAGAUCGGGAGGAAUACCAGUGGCGAAGGCGGCCUUCUGGACUGACACUGACGCUGAGGUGCGAAAGCGUGGGUAGCAAACAGGAUUAGAUACCCGAGUAGUC
rnacentral:rRNA from 1 species